UACAGAGGUCUCAAGCGUUGUUCGGAUUCAUUGGGCGUAAAGGGUGCGUAGGCGGCGCGGCAAGUCGGGUGUGAAAUCUUGGAGCUUAACUCCGAAACUGCAUUCGAUACUGCCGUGCUUGAGGACUGGAGAGGAGACUGGAAUUUACGGUGUAGCGGUGAAAUGCGUAGAUAUCGGAAGGAACAUCAGUGGCGAAAGCGGCUUCCUGGGCCAGUACCGACGUUCAGGCACGAAAGCGUGGGGAGCAAACAGG
rnacentral:rRNA from 1 species